GUGAGGAAUAUUGGACAAUGGGCGCAAGCCUGAUCCAGCCAUGCCGCGUGCAGGAAGACGCAUCUAUGGUGUGUAAACUGCUUUUGUACGGGAAGAAACACUCCCUCGUGAGGGAGCUUGACGGUACCGUAAGAAUAAGGAUCGGCUAACUCCGUGCCAGCAGCCGCGGUAAUACGGAGGAUCCAAGCGUUAUCCGGAAUCCUUGGGUUUAAAGGGUCCGUAGGCGGUUUAAUAAGUCAGUGGUGAAAGCCCAUCGCUCAACGAUGGAACGGCCAUUGAUACUGUUAGACUUGAAUUACAAGGAAGUAACUAGAAUAUGUAGUGUAGCGGUGAAAUGCUUAGAUAUUACAUGGAAUACCAAUUGCGAAGGCAGGUUACUACUUGUGGAUUGACGCUGAUGGACGAAAGCGUGGGGAGCGAACAGGAUUAGAUACCCCAGUAGUCC
rnacentral:rRNA from 1 species